GGAGAAGAAACAAAGACGAGCUUCAAUUGAAACAUUGCAUCAGUACAUAACAAAAGUGCGGAAAGGUGCUGUCAGAUUAUUCACAGGUUGCAGUCUACACCAAUAAUUAAUCUACAAAUAGGACACUUGAAAAUUUUAGGGAAAUUAGGGAAAUAAAAUAUCAAAAAGAAGGCUUUAUAAUAAAAAUGUAAUUUGUUACAUCAGAAAUUGUCUAGACCACAAACAAAAUUUCUUUCCUUAAUCCUUCUCUUUAACUUUUUCAGCUAAGUGUCCAAAAAGAAUGAUAAUAAUUACAAGUGCAAGUUUGCAAGGGACAUAAAUUAUAUAAGCAGAUUGGUCCCAAGCAAAAGCACUAUAAUCUCAUCCUAAUCCAUUGAAAUUUACAAUAUACCGUCUUCAUAGUAGCAUAUUUAACUCUGAAAGGUCGUCCAUAGGUAUUUCGAGGCCAUCCAAAGGUAAAUCAAGACCCAUUAAGUCAUUUUCUGGCAGGCUAUCCUCAUCAAAGUUAAACAAAUUACUCAGAUCUUGAUGGCUGCCAAUAUCGCUGGUUAUACCUAGUUCUAAAGAUAAAUCCUGCAAGUCUGUAAUAUCUGUAGCUCCUCUGCUUUCUUUGGAUGAAUCUGGAGGGUUGUAACCAUAGGAAUUCAGGCCAACUUCUCGUUUCUCAUUGCUGCUUGCUUCUUUGAACUUGUUACUAAUUCCAUCUCCUGAAGUUGAUAGCUGAGCAGUCUUCUGCUUGGGCUUUGAUUUUGCUUUGCGGUCAACCUUGACAUUGGCUUGUAAUGCACGGCCAGCUUUAAUGACAGAAUUUUUGGCUACUGUAUCCUUGUCCCUGUCUCUCUCACUUCUCUUUCCCUUUGUUCCAGCCAGCAUUGCAUUACCAAGAGAAGAGGUCGCUAUGAAGGAAGCAUUACCACCAACAUCAUCAAGUAGCAGUUCCUUCUUCUUCCCUUUGUUCAACAAUGGUCCUGUUUUGGAGAAAACAUGGUCACAUGAAUGAGCAAGAUUUCCAAAUGCACCAGCUGCAACCCUGCUAGAUUGAUCAUUAUGAAUAGGGAAAGAAACUGCAAGAAUUCAGAGGAGUAAAAAAUUAAAUGAACUUGGAGACACUAGAAACAGGAUUUCAUGCAAGAAGCAAGAAAUCAAUUUGUUGAAGGAAGCUAAAGAAUGAAGCAAACUGGUGAAAAUUUUGAAGAAUUUCAAGGAAUUAGGAGCAGGCUUCCACAUAAUAUGAAAGCAAAAAACAUUCUUCACCAGUUCUAGACCAUGCAAAUGCCCCCACCCAAAACAAUGCCUUGCUGUCUAGUGUCCCACUCAAAUCUAAGGGUAAAGCAUCACAAAGAUACAUUUACUUUCCCUAAAAAUCACCAACUCAUACAGACAAAAAGCAAACCAGAAGCACCAGGAUCAUGUUGAGAGUUGGAAGCUCCACGAUGCAUAUUUGAUUUAACUGCCAAGCCAAAGCCACUAAUGGAUUCUGUCUGAUUUCCACAAGGAGGUGCAGACAAAAUGAUGUCUCGCAGUGCAGGCUCAUUGAAGCAACUUUGGCCAGCAUCUUCAAAUUUCCUACAUCUAGCAAGAGUUCUAUUCAUAAAAGCCAGGGCAACUUGUUUUGAAACUUUAGGAACACCAAAUUUUGAAGCACAACUUCCUCGAGUGGCCAGCAGCUUUUUGUAAGCCAAUUCAACAAGCCUGUUCAUUGCAACCUGCUCAAGGCCCCUGCAAUUGAACCAUAUAAUACCAACUUCCACUUCCUUGCUUUCAUCUACUUCUUUAAUUAUCUUCUUCAAGUGUGCCUUCUUUUUACCCAUCUGCUGAUGAAGUCCUUUCUGUAGUUCAAUGAUAUCUUGAUUUAUUGCUUCAUCCUCUCCAUCUGCCAGAUCAGGCUGAAAAAGGCAUCAGCAUAAAGUGUAAGCCCCAAUGGUAAAAUAAAUGAAAAUGUAUACUUUAUAUAUUUAUGUGAUACACACACAUGUACACACAACAAUAGAGGGAGAAAGUAUGCAAGCAAGCAAACGUUCAAAAGAAAUUCCAUUCCAUUAUGUAAUUAAUAUGGAAAAAAUCUAUGAACAAGACAUGAACCUACAAUGAAUAUGCAUGGUUUUUGCAGACGGAAAAAUAUUUUAGGCAGUCAAAAGGUUAGGGCCUUUUCCAUUUCUGGACAAUAAUUGGAAGUGUCCCAAUCACAAGACUUCUCAAAGGCUUAGUGCUAGGAGUCAAUAGCAAGCAGAACAACCCCAUCCUUUUUUGAUGCUGUGCAUUCAGAUGGAGAAAAAGACGCACUCAGAAGAUGGAACAGCCUAUACAAGCUCUAUGUAAUAUUCCUCAAGAAUUCUUCUGAUUUCUCAUCAUCUUCUCAGAUAUUUUUUUUUCUAUUAAUUUUCCACAUGUACUAAAUUACAGGAUGUAAUGUUUUUUCU
rnacentral:misc_RNA from 1 species